CUUUGUUUCAGGUAGUACAGUCAUGAAAUUGAGUAAGUCUCUUAAAAAAAUGAAAGUCCACAGAUCCCAUUGUGGAAGGUGCGGUGGCACGUGCCUGUAGUCCCAGCUACUCAGGAGGCUUAGACAAGAGAAUCACUUGAACCCAGGAGGCAGAAGUUAAAGUGAGCCGAGACUGCGCCACUGCACUCCAGCCUGGCUGACAGAGUAAGACCCCAUCUCAAAAAACAAAAACAAAAGAAAGGCAUAUUGACCAUCUUUGGUUUUGGUGUGUAUAAAUAAAAUAAAGGCAGCCACACCAAUCUGUGAUGUGAGGCGGCCAGCAGCUACAGGACAAGGCACAGCUGAAAUACAGAGGCAAGGCUGUUUGUCUUAAUAGUUCACUAUACAGUUUGUUUUAGGCAGCUUUCUGUACCUUUUAUUUUAUAAUAAAAAUAUAGAAGAUACAGUUAACCAUUAUAUAUAGAGAGAGGGGGGGUCCACUGAAGACUAGGAUGCUACUAUCAAGACAGAAACAGGUGGUUAUAAACUACAAUGUGCUAAGAUGAGAAUAAAGGAUCAAAGAGGAAAGGCUUGAGAGAAUCUAUACGAAGCUGUCACAACAAAAGUUAAAGUGACUUCAAUGUGAGGGCAAGAAAAUAUUUCAAGGCGCAGAGAGGCUAAAAUAAUCAAAG
rnacentral:antisense_RNA from 1 species